GCUGGGUAUGGUGGUGCGUGCCUGUAAUCCCAGCUACUCAGGAGGCUGAGGCAGGAGAAUCGCUUGAAUCUGGGAGGUGGAAGUCGCAGUGAGACAAGAUGGUGCCACUGUACUCCAGCCUAGGUGACAGAGUGAGACACUUUUUUUUUUUUUUUUUUUUGAGACGGAGUUUCGUUCUUGUUGCUUAGGCUGGAGUGGAAUGGCACGAUCUUGGCUCACUGAAACCUCCACUUCCCGGGUUCAAGUGAUUCUCCUGCCUCAG
rnacentral:sRNA from 1 species